AAUCCUGGCUCAGGACGAACGCUGGCGGCGCGCCUAACACAUGCAAGUCGAACGAGAGAGGAAGAGCUUGCUUUUCCGAUCGAGUGGCGAACGGGUGGGUAACGCGUGAGGAACCUGCCUCAAAGAGGGGGACAACAGUUGGAAACGACUGCUAAUACCGCAUAAGCCCACGGCUCGGCAUCGAGCAGAGGGAAAAGGAGCAAUCCGCUUUGAGAUGGCCUCGCGUCCGAUUAGCUAGUUGGUGAGG
rnacentral:rRNA from 1 species